UACGUAGGGUGCAAGCGUUAUUCGGAAUUACUGGGCGUAAAGCGUGCGCAGGCGGCUUUGCAAGUCAGAUGUGAAAUCCCCGGGCUUAACCUGGGAACUGCAUUUGUGACUGCAUGGCUGGAGUGCGGCAGAGGGGGAUGGAAUUCCGCGUGUAGCAGUGAAAUGCGUAGAUAUGCGGAGGAACACCGAUGGCGAAGGCAAUCCCCUGGGCCAAGACUGACGCUGAUGCGCGAAAGCGUGGGGAGCAAACAGG
rnacentral:rRNA from 1 species